UUCUCCUGCAGACCAAACCCGCCGGUGAGAGGUAGGAGGAAAGGCCAGAGCACCCCAUCCACUACCCUGACAUCCGGAAGCGCCCACAGGUGUGGAGUUCACGUGUGCAUGGGCGCAGGAGAGAGCAAGAAGAGGGUCUGGUCGGGUGACCUUGGGCAAAGUCGCCAUCCCCCUCAGCCCAUUCCCAUUUCCUGGGUAUUUGGGGAAAGGCCAACUGAGCUUGUGGUGUUUUUUUUGGGUUUUCUGUGUGUUUUUUUGUACCGGGGAUCGAACUCAGGUCCUCACGCUUGCGCAGCAGGCGGCGAAACCACUGAGCUAGAUCCCAGGCCUGAACCUGUGGUUUUUAAUGAGCUUGCCGCAGGGGUCCUGGCACACCCCUAAUAUAAAAGCCCAGCUCAUAUAAAAGCGAGUAGAAUGUGUCCAAGGUCUUGUUUAGUCUGAACUCUUAAGGCACCCACAUAAGCUCUAAGAAGACAGGAAUGUUUGCCUGCCUUGUUCUGUAAUGUGUCCCAGGUGAGCGCCUGGCGUGGGUAGGUGUUGAUAAAGAUUUGCAUGCAUGCACGAAUGAAUCCUUUACUAUUUGAUGAAUUGUUUUGUGUUUUUUUGAGAUGGCGUCUUACUGUGUUGCCCAGUCUGGUCUUGAACUCCUGGGCCCAAGGGAUGCUCCUGCCUCAGUUUCCCAAGCAGCCAGGGCUGCAGGCAUGUGUCACCACACUGCACAUAUUUGACAGGUUUUUAAACAUCCAGGGAAACACACUUCCGGCCUCCUCCCCUUCAGCAGGACUUUACUCACCUUUCAGGGUAGCUACGGCUUCUCCCACUUGUCGCAGGAGGAAGGCCCCAUCCUCCACGGCCUUUAGAGUGACCACUCGGCCAGCGGAAGAAGAGUCCUUCUUCAAGUCUUCCACAAAGUUUUCCAGCUCGCUGUGGGGAGAAGCAGAGUCGAAGAUGGAGCCGGAUGCAGAAGCCCUGGCUUGCCUGUGAAUCCAGCAAGAGAAAAGGUUUCUUAAGACUAAGGGAAAGGCUGCAGGAGACGCAGCACCACUAGGUGGCAGUAAGUGAACAGCGACUCGGCCUCCUGGAGCCUGGUCAAGGGGCCGGGCAGAGCCGAGGGAAGGCAGUGUCACCUGCGAAGAGACGGAAGAGCCUGCCCAAGGGCCUGGACGGAAUUUGCUUCUGAACAGAAUGCUCUGGCUGCACACCCAGCCAACCUCCCACGGACGCGCUCCGGCCCAAAUCCUGCUAUGGUUCCAUGCACGACCCGCAAGUCUGUCCGUGUGCAGCCAACCCUGUGAGCAGCUGCCAUCUGACCCAGAGUCACCGCGCUGAAACCUACGUUCAGAUCUCUUCUACACAAUGAGCCUCCCGGACUUCCCAGCCUGCACGCAGGAGACGCCCAACACACGGCUUUCCUUCGCUGUGCAACACGGACUUUCAACACGAUGCUGCUAUUAAACAGUGGUGUCCUUGCGGUUCACGUGCUUACGAAAGCUACUUAGAUGAAGCAGUGAAGAUACAUCUGCUAAUUCAAAACGAAAAGGGACCAUGGAGCUGCACAUCAGUGCGGAACAUCGCUUGAUACAGUGCUCAGUGAAGUGCCGGCUCCUCUGCAGAGGGUCAGACGUGCACAGACGCCGCAGUUUACAGUGUCCCGAUUGUUUUACUUUUCAUUCUACCUUUGUUAAAAGAAGCAUUUAGCUUGUUAAAAUACAUUUCAUCUGACUGUUAAUAGAAGUCCAACUAUUAUUUCCCUGUUUUUAAAAAAAAAACAAACAAAAAACAGAAGAGAAAGAGAGAUAAUCUUGACCCACUUUCUGUCCCUCAUUUUAGACCCAAAUUUCAUCUCUCUGCACUCCUGACUGCUUUGCCAGCACGAAAGGAACUUACUUUUGGGGCACAAGCGGAAGAAGAGGAACGGAGCGUGAUUAGAAUCUCCUCAUCUCCCGGAGUUGGAGUUUCUGGCUGUCUUUUAUAAUCUGUGCCUUCUCACUAGGCGGACCUGUGCAGGUACACCUUUUAUAAGGUAUAAGGAAACUGAACACAGAUAUUAAAAAGAUACACUUUAUGUAUUUAUUUUUUGCCCUUGACCUCUUUUCUUGUUGCUACUUCUACUGCCUUGUGUCUGGAUGGUCACAGUGGCUUCCUGUGUGGUCCGACCUCUCUUCCUCCCAUCAGUCCUGCACAGGACCCACAGAGCAGCCUCUGGAAAGCACAGCCCUCGCUCUCCUACCUCCCCGAUCAAAAAUCCUUCAGCAACCUCCUCCUCAUGUGACGCUGCUUCAGCGUCACCCACGUGGCUUUGUCUAAGUUCCACAAGAGAAAUUCUGGAUGUGGGGUUGGGCCUAGGGGCUUCCAUGGAAAUCAGAAAUCUAGGUUUAACGGGGCUUCCAGUGUUGGUCAGCACAGCCCGGACUGGCCUUAGGCGGAGUCCACGGUCGGAGGAUGGGCUAAGGUUCAGCAAGACAGCACGAAAAGAGGAACGGCACAACCCAAGUGUGACACAUCAUUCGCAUCUUGCACCCGAUUAUUCUGCGACACUGGUCUAUCCCUAGUUCUCCAAGCACGUCCUCUCUUGUUCCUGGUCUGUAGCGCUGUCGGUUUACAUGAAUCCUCGGCCUUGGGGGAUCUCUAGGCUCUGUGAUGAAAUCCACCAAUUUCAAAGUCAUCUCAGCGCAGUUUAACAGCUUCUGAAACUAUUGUGUGCAUGGUGCCGUGGUUGGCCUGUGGGGCACAUGGAAAAUAACUAACCCAGGCCUGAUGUUUCUGACCCCUGGGCUCAGAAGCAGUCUUUCCUUUGUGCAGGUUCACCUGGCACACAUAAAUCACCAGCCAUGCGCUGUACCACCUUUAUGUUCUGCUUGGUAGAGUUCAAGUGCCCUGUGCACAAGCUCACCUUAUUCACUCACGGCCAGCUCACAAAGCCAGGCAGAUAAAACCCUCUUAGGAUCCCUUUUCCCCCUUAUCCUUCCUAUCUCAUUCCUAUCCUGAGCUACUAGCCUCAGGACUCGAACUGGGGUUAGAGAUGCCUUUUCUAAACACCAGAAGCAAGAGUUAUUUUAGCAAACCAAAACCCACAAAUUUUAAAGGAAAGAACUUCUCACAUUUUCAUCAUUUUACUAGAAAACUUUUACAAAUAUAAGUGGCUAUACCGAAGUUUGAAAGAUAAAUCAUUAAACCUACUUUUAAUUUUUAUUUUAUUUAUUUAUUUAUUUUUGAGUACCAGGGAUCAAACUCGGGUCCUUGCGCUUGCACAGCAGGUGGUGAAACCACUGAGCUAAGUCCCCAGCCCUAAACCUACUUUUGAGUAAGCAGAAUGUCACAAAAUAUUUCAGAUAAAUAAUAGACUCAUUAACUCAUGGUAGGUGAUUCACUCUAUAAAUGUACAAACUAAGUAAAAAUUGAGAAGCUAUUUUGAGAUGUGAAUGAAUAGUGGUCUAAUUUAAUUUAUUAGGAAAUGGUAGCUCAAGUUCACUUUUUCCCCUCUAGACUGCCACGAGUGACACCCAUGUGAAUCAAACUCUGGGACUGGAACCAGGAUGCUGUAAGCCGGGCUUGGAUAGGAGCUAAGCUGUGGGACCGGGCACUUCCACCACUUCUGGUUACCCUGGCCAUGAGAUGAAUUUGAAAGUUGCUCCUUUAUAAUCCCACUUUGGGAGAUUUAAGCCUUCCAAGCAAAAGGAGAGUUACCAACAAUAGAGGAACCUACAAAAUUCCUAUUCAUUGUACUAAAAGGUGAAAUAGUUCUAGGAUAAACUUUUGUUGCACAAGCAACAAAACAUAUAUUACAUGAAAGAUGGGGCUGCCUCCUGUGGGGAAGUAAUAAAACUCUGCUGAUUUCAACAGUGACUCGGAGGGCCGGGGAUUUAGCUCAGUGGUUUAGGCGCCUGCUGCACAAGAGCAAGGCAAGGAUCCGAGUUUGAUCCCCGGUACCAAAAAAAAAAAAGGUCAACAGUGACUCGGUCGAUGCUUUCAAUAAAGACCUUAUGUAAGAUUGGUAACAGCCAAGGAGGCAUUGUUCACUCCAGAUCAGACACAUUUCACAUGGAAAUUCUUCUGCGAUUUUUAACUACCAUUGAACAAUGAGGAUAAUUUCAGUGCUGUGUUCUUUUGGCCAUUAGUUUUAAUUUAUCGAGAUUAAACACAGACUUCCUACUCAUCACUAGGUUUUGCCAUUUGCUUCUUUUAAUUUCAUGUGCCGCUGAGCCCCAGGAAAGGGUGACACCCCAAUCUGCAGAGAAACUGGCUCAGGCACUGGGGCUCUUGCUCUCUCAGGCUUGGAUGCAGAGAUAUUGGGGUUCGUGGUCACCAGGACCCGAAGGACUCUGACUUGUCCAGAGGAGGGGUUCAGUACAGAGCCAUGGAGAAAACAAAGAAGAACAAACACAAAGACAGUUUUCCUUUUCAGGCUGAACAGACUGGAAACCAGGCAC